rnacentral:lncRNA from 1 species
AGGCACAGCAGUGACAGCUGCCCCAUGUACCAGACCUGACCGAGGGAUGGCGAGGCUGCAGGGAGGGGCUUCCCGCUCUGAGGCCCCGCCUUCUGGUGGCCCCAGCAGGAAAGCGCCGGCGGCAACGGGUCUCCGUAGCCGGACGGUGGAAAUCCCCAGGUCGGUGUGGGCCAGUGGGAACUGGCUGGCACUCCUACUCCCUGCUGAGGCCCAGGCGCGCGCCCGGCGGGGUGGAGGGUCCGGGGGUAUGCGCACCUGUGGCCUGGUCGGCCGCCCUGCCAGCUUUCUGCCUAUUCUUGCCGUCCAAGGCUUCCUUCCUCUCCAACCCCCCUUUUUGGGGUGUGGGUAUUUGUUUUAACCCAACCAGCCCCUUUGCUCGUCUCUACAGGCCCAGGGCUCAAACUGCGCCUCUGGGGUUCCUGGCGCGCGGCGAUCAGGGGCCAUCGAAAGGCCAGAGGAGGGCCCAACGCAGACGUUUGUUUUCAUCUUCUCCAAGGCGGAUCUCGCAGGCCAGAGAAGUGGGUCCCGCUUACCGCGGGGCUGUUACCAAAAAAGGCCUUUCUCUCGCUGGAGCGCUUGGCGGCGCGCGUUGCAGCAGGGUGACGCGAGGUUCAGCCCGGGCCUCCUUGAAGGUUGAGCCAGCUGACUGCAGGGCUGCCAGGCCAAGAGCCCCCCCUCCGCAACACACACACACACCCGCGCCCCGUCUCUGCCACAAAACGGCGGGGGCAGGAGAGAGAGUGCAGGGAGCUUCGAAGUGCGCGCCUGGCGACCUUCUCACCACUAGUAACCUUGGGCUAUGGUGCUCCGGCAAGGCCAGGUGGAAAGCUGACCUUUUGCUCCAGUUUAGAGCAGGGUUCUCUGAGGAUGCCAGCCCAGAUGGCAAGCUGGGUGGGGAAAGCGACAGUAGGAAGGAACUUUGGGAAGAUGAUGCCGCCGUUUGGCGCCCGGCUCUGCUAGUCUCUGCUUGUCUCCCAGACCCCAUGGACAGAGUUCUUUGAGUCUCUACACCUGGCAGUUUACGUUGAGGCUCCUCCACCUCCACCACCCCCCUCCCAAAUCCUUUCCAGUUCCUUUCCACCGUUGUCAUAGUUUUGUUCCACGGGACUCUUCUUCAGGGAGAAAACCCACCUCCAGAACACUGGAGUUCUAGCCUCUCACCGUCUCUCACACAUCCCCAAACGGCCAUCUCAGGCAACAAGAGAUACCACAAAUGAUGUUGAUUCUUUUUUUUGGUUGGGGGGGGGGGGGCGGUUUGGAGACAGCUGUGUUUUAUAAAUGAAAGGAUUAUGAGUCUGUAAUGGAAGUCUGUUUAAAUACACGUUGAUUUCUAACUCAGUGUGUCUGAAGGCACCCCAGCAUGUAUGUGUGUAUAUAUAUCUCCUUUAGUAACAGUGAAGACAGAGACAGACAGGGAGAUGGAGACAUAUGUGUGUGCAUACCAAACAUAACACCAUGACAUAGAAUCCAACUUGCUUUCUCUAGCAGCCUGGCUGGAGGGUUGUGGCUAAGUUGCUAUUUCCCUAAUAUUUUUGGUUUAAUAAAGGGAAGGGCUGAAUAAAUAUUAAUGUAAAGAAAUGGGUCACCCAACCGAGCCAAAGCUAAGGAGCCCCAGGCUGGCGGGGAUGUCAAACCAUUUCCCACCCCUAUGUUUUGACUCACUCCAGGGUAGCGGUAGUGUGGGGAGGGCUGAAGUCUGGGAGAGUGAGGCAAUGCUCCCCAAGCAACUCUUUGCAGAGGAAUCACUGCAAAGUGCCAGCAGGCCAGAGAAAGUUUAUUAUUGCUCUAGAGUGCACAGUGAGCUCACUGUUUUGCAAAAACAGAAAUCUGGCUGCUUUGAGAUGAAAGAGGGGCUCCCUAGGGCUCCUCCUCCUCUUCUGUCCUUAAAAACUCGCCUUUCCUUUGCACUCAGGGGCCCCAGAAUGAGUGGGAGAUUGGGGCUCUGGGGAGGGUUGGAUAGGGGAACAGGCUCUGGAAGUCAAGUGUCAAAAUAAAAGUAAGUAUCUCUUGUUGCUUCCACUGAA